AUUUUAACUUUGCUCAGAUUUAAGACACUGUUAAAACAAGACAGCGUCAUAUCGUUGACAUAAAUCGGUCUCGCUUUAACUGAAAAUUAAGCCUGAACAAAGUCAAAUUACCUACGCUCUAUAGAUCUCAGCCUAAGUAGGUAGAUAU